UGGGGAAUUUUGGACAAUGGGCGAAAGCCUGAUCCAGCAAUGCCGCGUGUGUGAAGAAGGCCUUCGGGUUGUAAAGCACUUUUGUCCGGAAAGAAAUCCUUGGCUCUAAUACAGUCGGGGGAUGACGGUACCGGAAGAAUAAGCACCGGCUAACUACGUGCCAGCAGCCGCGGUAAUACGUAGGGUGCAAGCGUUAAUCGGAAUUACUGGGCGUAAAGCGUGCGCAGGCGGUUUGCUAAGACCGAUGUGAAAUCCCCGGGCUCAACCUGGGAACUGCAUUGGUGACUGGCAGGCUAGAGUAUGGCAGAGGGGGGUAGAAUUCCACGUGUAGCAGUGAAAUGCGUAGAGAUGUGGAGGAAUACCGAUGGCGAAGGCAGCCCCCUGGGCCAAUACUGACGCUCAUGCACGAAAGCGUGGGGAGCAAACAGGAUUAGAUACCCUGGUAGUCCACGCCCUAAAACGAUGUCAACUAGUUGUUGGGGAUUCAUUUCCUUAGUAACGUAGCUAACGCGUGAAGUUGACCGCCUGGGGGAGUACGUCG
rnacentral:rRNA from 1 species